rnacentral:ribozyme from 1 species
AUGUAGGAAGCAAAUGAAAAAAAAAAAAAAAAAAAAAAAAAAA